rnacentral:rRNA from 1 species
GGGGGAUGCGAGCGUUAUCCGGAUUUAUUGGGUUUAAAGGGUGCGUAGGCGGCAAGGUAAGUCAGCGGUGAAAGACCAGGGCUCAACUCUGGAAGUGCCGUUGAUACUGUCGGGCUAGAAUGAUUCCGCCGUGGGAGGAAUGAGUAGUGUAGCGGUGAAAUGCAUAGAUAUUACUCAGAACACCGAUUGCGAAGGCAUCUCACGAGGGGUUCAUUGACGCUGAGGCACGAAAGCGUGGGGAUCGAACAGGAUUAGAUACCCUGGUAGUCCACGCAGUAAACGAUGAUGGCUAACUGUCGGGCCUAUUGGGUUCGGCGGCCAAGCGAAAGCGAUAAGCCAUCCACCUGGGGAGU